CAGAGUCGGGACAACCUCCUCUCCUGAGCUUCUCGGCGCUGCCGCUACGCGGCGUCGAUUUCGCUGGAGUCACGAAUAUUGCGCUGGCAAAUUUCCUGUACAUAGUGCUGCUUCAAAGAUGAACUGAAGUUUAUGUCUUCUAUGUGUGCAUUGGCAAUGGCAUGUGGCUCAACAAGACUUCACACACGAAAGUUCUCAAAUAGAAGAGGGAAUCAAUGUUCAUCCGCUCAGCAAAGUCUGUGGAUCUGGUUAUGCUUCCUGUACGAGACAGAUCACGAAGCGGUUGCUGACUGACCAGUUGGGGCGAAAAUUUUUGUGGGAAGGACGCAAGAGAAAGUUGACAUUCAGGAACCUUCACCUUGCUGAGUGCAUCAUAAAUGCAGUGCAGAGCUGCCAUAAAUGUGAAGACUUCAAGGUAGAAACCAUGGUCACGGAUUAACUUCGCCACGCACCUGCCUGACAUCAGUCAUCUCAAAUGGAACAUUCUGCACCACAGGAGAUAGAGAUGUGAACUGC